GAGUAAUAAAAGCUGAAAUAAUCAGAUUUUACAAUGAUUCAUUUAUGAUAAUGUAGGUGUGCGCGCGUGCCUGUUUGCAAGCGCAUCACUGAUGUUUUUUUGGGUGUCCUCUCUCUCUCUCUUUGACAGAUGUUAAUGUGUUGUGCCGCUAGGAGGACACAAUUAGUUUUUUCCCCCAGUAAAUAUUGAAGCCGUGUUGUAUUGCCUGAAUUGUGGGUAAAUGCUCCGGAGUUUGGGGUAGAAUGUUUCUCUGAUGCGCUGAUCAGUUCGUGCAGCGGGUGAGGAAGCGUUCCUCCGUCUCCACCACUGCCUGGACAGACGGCGAGCACUCAGCCUGCAUUCGGUCAUUGUUGUUUUGAAUCUACUGUCCUUUACUGAACUCAGACAUGUUGCUGUGGUAUAAUCUGCGUUUAGCUGUAAAUAACAUUGAAUUUUACUUUGUUUUCCUGCUCUCUCUCUCUCUCUCUCUCUCUCUCUCUCUCGUGCAGGAAUUACAGUCUUAGAGCGAAGGCCGGAUUCACCUUGUGACAUACAUGUGACGUAUCCGGACAUACAGGCCAAACAAGAGGUGAUGGCGUUACUCGAGGGAAGCAGAAACGCAGCAGUGCUGUUCGGAUGACGCUCGAACAGAAAGUACGCGGACCGGACGAAAGGCGACCGGAGCUUCACCACCGUGGCGAGGGGGGUCGAAGGAGCCGGAUGAGGAGAGGAGCCCGGCGGCGGAGCGAGCGCUGGAGCUGGCGAAUGCGGAAGCAGAGGCUGGAGUCAAAACGCAGAUCACAGCAUCAUGGGCCUGUACGCCUGCUGUGGUGAUCUGGAAGUCCUUCAGCAGUAUUUCCCCCUCCAUCGUGUUUGAGGAGCUGCCGUGCGUGAACCGAUUCCUCAAACUGAGCCUGGUGUGGGAGACGGGAGAGCUGGAGCCGGAGAAGGAUCUGUACGACUCGACUGUGGACAUGAGAGAACAAUAAAGGAGCUGUGCAAGAAGCAAGAGGAAGAAACACAGCAGAGAGACACUGGAGUCUGUGACUUUGACAUCACCGGCUCCGUUUUAGGCUUAAGGGUGAUCCCGUACUGACACUGAUGUGCGAUUGUGGAUCAACAAUCAAGAGGAUAACGCGCAUUCUGGAAAUCUGCUGCUGUUUACUGAUGCGUAACGCAGUAGAAAUGACACAGACUUGUUUUAUUUAGAGCGCGCAUGGAUUCAAGAAUGACAUGUUUUCCCUGCAGUUUGAACGAUCAUUUCAGACAUUCGUCUGCAGCAUAGUUUUCAGAAACGAACAGUGGGGGAAAGAGUAUUUAAAAUCGUUCAUUCAUUCAUUCGUUCGUUCGUUCGUUCAUCUAUUUUCUUUUGGGCUUAGUCCCUUUAUUAUUCCGUGGUAGCCACAGGGAAAUGAACCGCCAACUUAUCCAGCAUGUGUUUUAUGCAGCGGAUGCUGUUCCAGGUUGAAUAGUGGAAAAUCAUCCUAAAGUAAAAGUAGCAUCACUUGGUUAAAGUAGUUGUGUGAGUAAAAGUAUCUGUGGUAAAUAUUACAGAAAGUACGAGUUAAAGUAGACCUUUUCAAAGUACUGGAGUAGCGAGCAUCACGCUGUAAAAGGCUGAUGCGUUCACAUGUCAUUUGUGGAUGUGUGUGUGUAAACGUAACAUUCUGUAAGGCGUGACAUUAGUUAUUGCCCAGCAGGCACACAACAUCAUAAGACAUAAACAUGAGGUUAGAUUUAGUUUGUGAUGUGAGGUGAGCAAAAUUCAGUGUUAAGCCAGCGUCUAUAGUUCAGUGUGUAUAUUUUUAUAGCAACAUCCGGUGAGGUUAAUUGUAGGUAGUGUUAGAAAAGGUCCCAAAGCCCACAUCUUAAAGUAACGUCAUAUUUAUUGGUCAGGUAUGAUGACCAAAAUCCAAUGUGUGGUAGACGUCAUAGUGGUGUCGUAGUGACAUGUCGGCUGUAGCGUGAUCAGAUGUUGAUAUUUGGUAUGUGGCCGUGACGUCGAGUUGUCGCAUGAAUUUGAUAAUCAUUUCCAAAGCGUACGCAACGUCCCCGUAGUGCUGGGGUACAGUCAACCUGAUGUAAUGUCGACAUCUUGCUCCUGCUGGGUGUUUAAGAGCAUUUGGGUCGUGAUACAGUAAACGGCUGUGGUUUAGUCAUCAGCGUCAUGCAGCGACAGGAUUGUUUUUUUCUGAUGCGCACAGACGGGAAAUAAUGACGUAUUGACUGCAGGUUGAAGGAAAAUAGAGCAGUUUAAUUAUUGAUCCAGCAGUGAAAAUGUAGUCAACGGAGAGUAAAAGUGCACAUUUGUAAAAGUAUUUAGGAAAUGACAAUUCCUGAGAAAAACUAGUCAACGACAGUAAUUUGAGUAACGUGUGACUUUCCAGAACUGAUAAUGAAUGAGUGAACGAACGAACGAAUGCACUGAAUCAAUAUUCACUAAUACGUUCUCCCCCUUUUUUGAAGGCAGGCAGUGUUCUUGAAUUUCCAGCAUAUAAAAGUGUUUGACUUGAUGCAUUAUUUGCAUAUUAUUUGAUGCGUUUGUUAACAUGAAAAACAGAUUGAUUCCAGUGUUGAAUGAAUGUAUCUUGAAUGUGUAUGUGUGCUUGCAAUGCAGGUAUGUAGGAGUGUGUGUGUGUG